GACGAACGCUGGCGGCGUGCCUAAUGCAUGCAAGUAGAACGCUGAAGAGAGGAGCUUGCUCUUCUUGGAUGAGUUGCGAACGGGUGAGUAACGCGUAGGUAACCUGCCUUGUAGCGGGGGAUAACUAUUGGAAACGAUAGCUAAUACCGCAUAACAAUGGAUGACCCAUGUCAUUUAUUUGAAAGGGGCAAAUGCUCCACUACAAGAUGGACCUGCGUUGUAUUAGCUAGUAGGUGAGGUAACGGCUCACCUAGGCGACGAUACAUAGCCGACCUGAGAGGGUGAUCGGCCACACUGGGACUGAGACACGGCCCAGACUCCUACGGGAGGCAGCAGUAGGGAAUCUUCGGCAAUGGGGGCAACCCUGACCGAGCAACGCCGCGUGAGUGAAGAAGGUUUUCGGAUCGUAAAGCUCUGUUGUAAGUCAAGAACGAGUGUGAGAGUGGAAAGUUCACACUGUGACGGUAGCUUACCAGAAAGGGACGGCUAACUACGU
rnacentral:rRNA from 1 species